GUGCUCACUUCGGCAGCACAUAUACUAAAAUUGGAACGAUACAGAGAAGAUUAGCGUGGCCCCUGCGCAAGAAAGACACGUAGAUCAGAAAGGUUGGCAAGUGAAUU